UGAAAAAAGCUGGAGUUCCCCAAAAAGCCCCGUUUCAUAGCUUUUCUCCUUGACUUCUUUUACUUUUUUUAAGUACUUUGUAUCAUUUGCCAAACACACAGCAGAAAAGAGGAAGUGGACUUCUAGGCUUUUAAGCCCAGAAAUCCAAUUCCCAAACACCCCCUAUAUCUUUCUUCUUAGAUUAUAAGUCUGAUUCUAGAAUCCUCACCCCAGCUGAAACAUAAUAAUCUGAUUUAUAUGUGAAUCCACGUAUCUGUAGCUUGUUUAUAACAAAUACUUCCCCAGAAUAGCAACCAUUUCCGGUAGAGAAAAAAUUAGUGUUUGUAGUGUUAAUGGAGGCUACAAACAGUCCACUGAUUAUCACUGAAAAAUGCUGGAUCACCUGGAGAUGCAGCAACUUGGAAGACCAAAAAUCCUCUUUCUUGCGAUUGGAAUGUCAAAAAGACAAAAAGAAUCGGUUCUUAGAGAAAGAACCGAACCGGAUUAUUCCGGUUCGAUUCCGGUUCGACAAUAAGAUAAUUUCAGUUCGAUUCGAUCUGGGAAAAAUUACUAGUUCAGUUCUUGGUUCUUUCGGUUCGGUCUAGUUCUGGACCGAACCAACCGAAUGCUCAUCUCUACUUGUGUUAUUGUUAUAGUGUUAUAAUAAAUGAUGUUCAUUGU